rnacentral:rRNA from 1 species
AGCGUGGAGACAGGUGGUGCAUGGCUGUCGUCAGCUCGUGUCGUGAGAUGUUGGGUUAAGUCCCGCAACGAGCGCAACCCUCACCCCUAGUUGCCACCGGGUUAAGCCGAGCACUCAAAGGGAACUGCCAGCGUCAAGCUGGAGGAAGGCGGGGAUGACGUCAAGUCAUCAUGCCCCUUACGCCCUGGGCUACACACGUGCUACAAUGGCCAGUACAAAGGGACGCGAGACUGCGAAGUGGAGCUAAUCCCAAAAAGCUGGUCUAAGUUCAGAUUGCAGUCUGCAACUCGACUGCAAGAAGGAGGAAUCGCUAGUAAUCGCGUAUCAGCCCGGCGCGGUGAAUACGUUCCCGGGCCUUGUACACACCGCCCGUCACACCACGAAAGCUGUCUGUACUCGAAGUCGCUGAG